ensembl:lncRNA
UGAACGUUCACAUCAUGACUCAGUCCAGGUGCUCACUUAUUAAUCCAGUUCAGACUCAGGAAACACAGCCAAAUAUCAACCAACUCAGUUUUCUCACCUUUGGCAGUACUUGACAAGUUUGGCUGACUCUGUCUUACAAAGCCUCAAACAGAUGCAUUCAGCUUGCUGCUGGUCUCCCAAGUUCCCAAGUGCCAGAACAAGGUAGCCAAGAGUGAUCAGCUGUGGAGAAACCUGUGUCUGAGAAAAUGGAGCUUCUGCAUCUUCUCCAGUCAGUGCCUGGGCGCACAGACACACAGCAGUGUUCCUCAGACAAAGCAGGAGUGCUGGAUGACGCUGGCACAUCAGACACUCUGUCUACAAAGCAGCAGCUGGGAACCUCAGUGUACGGCAGAGAGUACGCUAGAGUCUUAAAUUUGAACAUUAUACCUAGAGAUGGAACUUAAGCCCAUGAGGAUGAAAGCCAUAUACUAAGGAUUGCAGAACAAGAAAAGGAUCCUGAUUUCUCAUCGACAUCCUUGAACAAGGAAGGAGCAACACCAUGAAUUUCAUUGGCCUUUCUUGACGUGACAUCAGUUGUGUGUAUUUUCAUGCUACUUCUCUCCAUGCAUGAGGAACCCAGGCAUUUCAAGUUGAGAAAACAUUUCACAGCAGAAGCUAAAUAUUCUGAACUUGCAAGCAACAAGAUGAGAAACAUGAUCUCUCUGUUUCAGAUUCACAGAUACUUUACAGAUCUCAAAUAUUUACUCAUCUCCUGCUCAUCGGCCUCUAGGACUGAGUGAUCACCCAUGUGUUGUAGAAGGAAAAUUCUCAAGCUUUGACAUUCAACUACCUGGGUUCCAAACUCAACUGUACCACUUAGCAGCUCUGUGCCCAGUCACGUCAACUCUUUGCAGCCCCAUGGACUAUAGUCCACCAGGCUCCUCUGCCCAUGGAAUUUUCCAGGCAAGAAUACUAGAGUGGGUUGCCAUUUCCUUUUCCAGGGGAUCUUCCCGACACCGUGAUCAAAACCACAUCUCCUGUGUCUCCUGCAUUGGCAGGCAGAUUCUUUACCAUUCGUGCAACCUAGGAAG